AUUGAACGCUGGCGGCAGGCUUAACACAUGCAAGUCGAGCGAGCGGCGGACGGGUGAGUCAUGUCUGGGAAACUGCCUUAUGGAGGGGGAUAACUACUGGAAACUGUCUAUAAUACCGCAUACCAUCAGAUGUGCCCAGAUGGGUUGAGCUAGUAGGUGGGGUAAUGGCUCACCUAGGCGACGAUCCCUAGCUGGUCUGAGAGGGUGACCAGCCACACUGGAACGGAGACACGGCCCAGACUCCUACGUGAGGCAGCAGUGGGGAAUAUUGCACAAUGGGCGCAAGCCUGAUGCAGCCAUGCCGCGUGUGUGAAGAAGGCCUUAGGGUUGUAAAGCACUUUCAGCGAGGAGGCGUUACUCGCAGAAGAAGCACCGGCUAACUCCGUGCCAGCAGCCGCGGUAAUAC
rnacentral:rRNA from 1 species